rnacentral:tRNA from 1 species
GCCGAGAUGGCGAAAUGGCAGACGCGCUGUCUUCAGGUGGCAGUGUCCUAACGGACGUGAGGGUUCAAGUCCCUCUCUCGGCA